GACGAACGCUGGCGGCGUGCUUAACACAUGCCAGUCGAACGGAAAGGCCCUGCUUUUGUGGGGUGCUCGAGUGGCGAACGGGUGAGUAACACGUGAGUAACCUGCCCUUGACUUUGGGAUAACUUCAGGAAACUGGGGCUAAUACCGGAUAGGAGCUCCUGCUGCAUGGUGGGGGUUGGAAAGUUUCGGCGGUUGGGGAUGGACUCGCGGCUUAUCAGCUUGUUGGUGGGGUAGUGGCUUACCAAGGCUUUGACGGGUAGCCGGCCUGAGAGGGUGACCGGCCACAUUGGGACUGAGAUACGGCCCAGACUCCUACGGGAGGCAGCAGUGGGGAAUAUUGCACAAUGGGCGGAAGCCUGAUGCAGCAACGCCGCGUGCGGGAUGACGGCCUUCGGGUCGUAAACCGCUUUCGCCUGUGACGAAGCGUGAGUGACGGUAAUGGGUAAAGAAGUACCGGCUAACUACGUG
rnacentral:rRNA from 1 species